rnacentral:rRNA from 1 species
UACAGAGGUCUCAAGCGUUGUUCGGAUUCAUUGGGCGUAAAGGGUGCGUAGGCGGCGCGGUAAGUCGGGUGUGAAAUCUCGGAGCUUAACUCCGAAAACUGCAUUCGAUACUGCCGUGCUUGAGGACUGGAGAGGAGACUGGAAUUUACGGUGUAGCGGUGAAAUGCGUAGAUAUCGUAAGGAAGACCAGUGGCGAAGGCGGGUCUCUGGACAGUUCCUGACGCUGAGGCACGAAGGCCAGGGGAGCAAACGGG